rnacentral:rRNA from 1 species
UUUUGAUGAUAAUUAAUAUUAAAUUUGCCCUGCUCUAUGAUUAGUAAAUUAAAUGGCUGCAGUAAAUUGACUGUACAAAGGUAGCAUAAUAAUUUGUCUUUUAAUUGAAGACUGGAAUGAAUGGGUGGACGGAGAAAUUCUAUCUAAGUUUUUAUUAUUGAAUUUUACUUUUGUGUUAAAAGGCUUAUUAUUUAAAUUUUAUUAAGGGACGAGAAGACCCUGUCAAGUUUUAUAAUUUUAAUUUAUAAUUUCAUUAUUAUAAAUUAUUAUUAUUUUUCUGGGGCGGAACUAAUAUAAACUAUUAGAAAUUUUAUAAUUAUUGAAUUUAUUAUUGAUCUUAAUUAAUACUAAUUAAAAAAUUACUGCAGGGGUAACAGCAUAAUUAUUUUGGUAAGUUCAAAUUUAUAAAAUAGAUUAUGACCUCGAUGUUGGAUUAAGUUUACCUAAAAUAAUGAAAAAGUUUUAAAGGUUAGUCUGUUCGACUAUUAAAAAUUUACA